UCAGGACGAACGCUGGCGGCGUGCUUACACAUGCAAGUCAAGGGGAAAGUCUCAGCUUGCUGAGAUGAGUAUACUGGCGGAUGGGUGAGUAACACGUAGGUAAUCUGCCCUUAGGACAGGGAUAACAUUGCUAACGCGAUGCUAAUACCUGAUGAAGCAACUGUUGAAUCAGAUGGUUGUUAAAGGCUGGCUUUCAGCUAGCGCCUGAGGAUGAGCCUGCGUCUCAUUAGCUAGUUGGUAGGGUAAUGGCCUACCAAGGCGACGAUGGGUAGCCGGCCUGAGAGGGUGAGCGGCCACACUGGGACUGAGAUACGGCCCAGACUCCUACGGGAGGCAGCAGUGAGGAAUAUUGCGCAAUGGCCGAAAGGUUGACGCAGCGACGCCGCGUGAGGGAUGAAGCUUUUAGGAGUGUAAACCUCUGUUAGGAGGGAAGAAUAAUGGCAAUUCGAACAGGGUUGUCAGAUGACGGUACCUCCAGAGGAAGCCCCGGCUAACUCCGUGCCAGCAGCCGCGGUAAUACGGGGGGGGCUAGCGUUGUCCGGAAUUACUGGGCGUAAAGGGCGCGUAGGCGGGAUAGCAAGUCAGUGGUGCAAACUUGAGGCUUAACUUCAAGCUUGCCAUUGAUACUGUUAUUCUUGAGUUCGGCAGGGGGAAGUGGAAUUCCUGGUGUAGCGGUGAAAUGCGUAGAUAUCAGGAAGAACACCGGUGGCGAAGACGGCUUCCUGGUCCGAUACUGACGCUGAGGCGCGAAAGCGUGGGGAGCGAACAGGAUUAGAUACCCUGGUAGUCCACGCUGUAAACGAUGGGUACUAGGUGUUGGUUGUAAUGAUCAGCGCCGGAGCAAACGCAUUAAGUACCCCGCCUGGGGAAUACGGUCGCAAGACUGAAACUCAAAGGAAUUGACGGGGGCCCGCACAAGCGGUGGAGCAUGUGGUUUAAUUCGAAUGCACGCGAAGAA
rnacentral:rRNA from 1 species